rnacentral:rRNA from 1 species
CGUGAGGGAAAGGCGAAAAGAACCCCGGCGAGGGGAGUGAAAAAGAACCUGAAACCGUGUACGUACAAGCAGUGGGAGCCCCACCACUAAGCCAGUGGUGAACUCCACAUCCGCAUCCUUUGCUGAGGAUACGGUUAACGGAGCGAAAGCGACGUUCAACCGCAAAACAAGCAGAGGGGGCUUAGUGGUGGGGUGACUGCGUACCUUUUGUAUAAUGGGUCAGCGACUUAUAUUCUGUAGCAAGGUUAACCGUAUAGGGGAGCCGGAGGG